rnacentral:rRNA from 1 species
UUGUGGUUAAAAAGCUCGUAGUUGGAUCUCGGCGGACUGAGGGCGGUUUGCUUGCUAGUAUUACCGCCCUAUAGUCCGUAGUUUUGCCAGAGGUUUCGGGGUGCUCUUAAUCGAGUGUCCCGGGAUGCUGGCAGGUUUACUUUGAAAAAAUUAGAGUGCUCGAAGCAGGCUAUUACGCCUGAAUAUUCGUGCAUGGAAUAAUAGAAUAGGAAGUCGUUUCUAUUUUGUUGGUUUCGGAAAUCGACUUAAUGAUUAAUAGGGACAGUCGGGGGCAUUUGUAUUCAAACGACAGAGGUGAAAUCCUUGGACCGUUUGAAGACAAACUACUGCGAAAGCAUUUGCCAAGAAUGUUUUCAUUAAUCAAGAACGAAAGUUAAAGGUUCGAAGGCGAUUAGAUACCGCCCUAGUUUUAACCAUAAACGAUGCCAGCUAGCGAUCUGCGGACGUUUUUUUUGUAGACUCCGCAAGGGAGCUUCCGGGAAACCAAAGCAU